GAUGAACGCUAGCUACAGGCUUAACACAUGCAAGUCGAGGGGUAACAAGAGAAAAGCUUGCUUUUCUUGUUGACGACCGGCGCACGGGUGAGUAACGCGUAUCCAACCUGCCCAUAACUAGGGAAUAACCUUGCGAAAGUAAGACUAAUACCCUAUAAUUUCCUUUGACGGCAUCUGACGAGGAAUAAAGAUUUAUCGGUUAUGGAUGGGGAUGCGUCUGAUUAGCUUGUUGGCGGGGUAACGGCCCACAAAGGCAACGAUCAGUAGGGGUUCUGAGAGGAAGGUCCCCCACAUUGGAACUGAGACACGGUCCAAACUCCUACGGGAGGCAGCAGUGAGGAAUAUUGGUCAAUGGGCGGAAGCCUGAACCAGCCAAGUAGCGUGCAGGAUGACGGCCCUAUGGGUUGUAAACUGCUUUUAUACAGGAAUAAAGUUAGCCACGUGUGGUUAUUUGUAGGUACUGUAUGAAUAAGGACCGGCUAAUUCCGUGCCAGCAGCCGCCGUAA
rnacentral:rRNA from 1 species